rnacentral:rRNA from 1 species
CAUUUUCAGGAAAUAGCUUUGAUUUCGUUUUUUUAAACUAAAACCGUACUUAAACCGACACAGGUAAAUAAAUUUAGUAAAUUAAGAUGUUGAGUUAACUGUUGUUGAAGGAACUCGGCAAAAUGACUCCGUAACUUCGGGAUAAGGAGUGGCUUUUUUUGGGCAACCUUUUUAAGCUCACAGAAAAUCGGGAACAGCGACUGUUUAAUAAAAACACAGGUUUCUGCUAAUUUGUAAAAAGAUGUAUAGAAACUGACGCCUGCCCAGUGCUAAAAAACUAACGAAAAAAGUUUUGGCUUUAAUCCUAACUUUUAGUAAACGGCGGCUGUAACUCUGACGGUCCAAAGGUAGCGAAAUUCCUUGUCGGGUAAGUUCCGACCUGCACGAAUGGCGUAACGACUUCCCCACUGUCUCCAGCAUCGACUCAGCGAAAUUGAAGUCCCCGUGAAGAUGCGGGGUACCCGCGGUCAGACGGAAAGACCCCGUGCACCUUUACUACAGCUUCGCACUGGCAUCAGGACUGCAUUGUGCAGGAUAGGUGGUAGGCUUUGAAACCGUGACGCUAGUCGCGGUGGAGCCAUCCUUGAGAUACCACCCUAUGCAUUCUUGAUGUCUAACCGCGGCCCGUUAUCCGGGUCCGGGACCCUGCGUGGCGGGUAGUUUGACUGGGGCGGUCGCCUCCUAAAG